rnacentral:rRNA from 1 species
GAUGAACGCUGGCGGCGUGCCUAAUACAUGCAAGUCGAGCGAACAGAUAAGGAGCUUUCUCGUUUGACGUUAGCGGCGGACGGGUGAGUAACACGUGGGUAACCUACCUAUAAGACUGGAAUAACUCCGGGAAACCGGGGCUAAUGCCGGAUAACAUUUAGAACCGGAUGGUUCUAAAGUGAAAGAUGUAUUUGCUAUCACUAAUAGAUGGACCCGCGCCGUAUUAGCUAGUUGGUACGGUAACGGCUUACCAAGGCAACGAUACGUAGCCGACCUGAGAGGGUGAUCGGCCACACUGGAACUGAGACACGGUCCAGACUCCUACGGGAGGCAGCAGUAGGGAAUAUUCCGCAAUGGGCGAAAGCCUGACGGAGCAACGCCGCGUGAGUGAUGAAGGUCUUCGGAUCGUAAAACUCUGUUAUUAGGGAAGAACAAAUGUGUAAGUAACUGUGCACGUCUUGACGGUACCUAAUCAAAAAGCCACGGCUAACUACGUG